AAAGAAACCAACCGGGAUUGCCCCAGUAACGGCGAGUGAAGCGGCAAGAGCUCAAAUUUGAAAUCUGGCCCCCUGCGGGGUCCGAGUUGUAAUUUGCAGAGGAUGCUUCGGGUGCGGCCCCUGCCUAAGUGCCCUGGAAUGGGCCGUCAGAGAGGGUGAGAAUCCCGUCCUGGGCAGGGUGCCCCGCGCCCGUGUGAAGCUCCUUCGACGAGUCGAGUUGUUUGGGAAUGCAGCUCUAAAUGGGUGGUAAAUUUCAUCUAAAGCUAAAUACCGGCCGGAGACCGAUAGCGCACAAGUAGAGUGAUCGAAAGAUGAAAAGCACUUUGAAAAGAGAGUUAAACAGCACGUGAAAUUGUUGAAAGGGAAGCGCUUGCGACCAGACUCGCCCCCGGGGUUCAGCCGGCACUCGUGCCGGUGUACUUCCCCGGGGGCGGGCCAGCGUCGGUUUGGGCGGCCGGUCAAAGGCCCCAGGAAUGUAUCGCCCCCCGGGGCGUCUUAUAGCCUGGGGUGCAAUGCGGCCAGCCCGGACCGAGGAACGCGCUUCGGCACGGACGCUGGCGUAAUGGUCGCAAACGAC
rnacentral:rRNA from 1 species